UCGGCCUACCUACAGGCAGGGUAGCUAGAAAUCAGCUGCCACAAAGCCAAACCCUAUGAGCCCAGUAGGGUUCGCCUUGAAAACUUGUUUGCUUGGCUUUGCUCAACAUCUGACACAUGUUUUGUCCUGAAGGAUCAUAGGUUCCAAAUUAAGAGAGUCAAAAUUAAUGAGACUUUCCAUCAAUAAGCCUGAGAAUAGAAAGAUGGAAAAAUCUACUAAUUAUAGACCAGCCAGCCACCGAAUCACAACUUGGAUCCAGGCAGGCCUCUGGGAAGAGGGAGAUGGUGGAAGCAGGGAAGAGCCCAGAUGGACCGGCCUGUGGGACCAUCCUUCCUGUGCCUCUGUCUUGCCCCUGGACUUGGGGACUCAGCACCCAAUGCUUCCUGCCUCCAAAGUUCCCCUCCCGGGACAGGCUGUGCCAGGGCCAGCUUCUGAGAACUAUAAACGGGCAGAGCCGAGCAUACAAGCCCCACCCACCGGCGAAGCUCCACCCCUUCCCUCCUGCUCACCCAGGUCCGCAAUGCAACAUUGCAAGUCGCUCUUGACCAGCACAUUGCGGCUCUUGAGGUCACGGUGGGCGAUGGCUGGUUUGCCUUGAGUGCCAAAGAUCUCCACAUGCAGGUGUGCCAGGCCGCAGGCCGCGGACACAGCUAGCCUCAGGGCCAGCUGCGGCUCCAGUGGCUGCCUCUGCAGAAAGUCGUAGAGGGAGCCAUGCUCAUGGAAGUGGGUGAUGAGCCACAGCUGCGUGCUUGAGUUGCGCGAGGUCAUGUCGGAAGCGAUGAAGCCUGGAAGCAGAAGAUCUCCGUCUCCCGGAACCAGGACUGUUCAUCUCGUGAGGAGAAAAUCUUGACGGCCACACUCUCACCAUGCCACGAACCACGCCACACCUCGCCAUAUCGACCCUUUCCUGAUCCAAUGGCCAAGGGAAGAGCAAGGGUCACACACCAGAUACACACGGUCCUGGGAGCCCCGCCCCCAACUCUGGGUGCUAUGAAAACCCGCUUCUGCAAAACCUGAAUUUUUACUUUUUUUUAAAACAGGGUCUCACUGUGUGUCACUGGCCGACUUGGAACUUGCCAUCUAGACCAAGCUGGCCUUGAACUCACAGAAAUCUUCCUGCUUUUGCCUCCUGAGCGCUGCUGGGAUUAAAGGCAUGAGCCCCCAUG